GCAAUUUAAAAAGAGCACAACUGAAGUGCUUAGGAAUCUGUUGGUAUCAUGCAGUUAACUGAAUGUAAUUUAGUAUCCCCAGCAGCUGGAUUUAAAGAUGGAUUCAUUUUGGUUAAGCUAUUUGCUGGAAGAAUAUCUUCAAAAUACUAUUUGUAUUUUUUGUCUUGGGGUAUUUUCCUGGAUUUUUUAUUCUUAAGUCAGAUUGUAGCUCUUCUUUCUUAUAAUCCUCAAAAAAUCCUGCUACCUUAAUGAAUAAUUAUAUGCAAAAGAAAUAGGGCUCUGACAUUAAUAGUUAACAUUAAGGGCAAGAAAUAGUAAAGAAGCAAAAGGUAUCAUUACUUUGUAGUGUAAACCUCAUUUUUUUUUUCCAGGUAAUGUGCAAAGAUGGAACUGAGAUAGAAACAUAGUUUUGAUUAUGGAAAAUUUAUCUAGCCUAUCUGAGCCUUAGUUUACUCAUCUGCAAUUUGGAACUGGUCCUGUUGACCUUAGGUCUACUGGUACUGUUGGCUGUGAGGAUUAAGUCACAUAAUGAAAGUAUAGAACUUUCCAGAUCUCUUGCCCCAUAUUCAUCAUUAAAUUUCAGUACCUGUUAUCUUAGUUUCCACCCAUGACCAAUCAACAAAGUAACAAUUCUUUGCUGAGCAUAACCAGUGAGCUAGGUGCUUGGAGAAAAGAAAGAAUAUGUGAACCUCAACUUUGAAGAAAUUUAAUAUUUUUAGAGACAAGAUAAGCAAAAAUCCCUGGGUCAGUUUCUGCCCCAUCUCUCAGUAUCUUAGUGAAAUAUCAGGUUCUCCGUCUCAUUUCUGAUUGGCUGUAUUUUCUUCUGUGAGCAGCAGUUCCCACUGGUGUGUGAGGAGAAGGCCAACCUGAGGGGCAACGCCAUUUUUCUCAGUGAAACCUGCCUUUACCAUGCGCCCAUGAGUUCCAUAGUCAGUUCAGUGCAUAAUGGACACCCAGCAGAAAGCCCAUAGUAUACUCUAUUAGGGUGUCCAUUAUAGUAUUCCUUUGAGUGUGUGAUUUUUUUUCUUACUAAUUAUGAAAAAGAGAAAAAAAAAACCUUUGGGACAGUUCCAAGAGAAAACAUUUGUUACUACAAUAUUUAAUCACUUGAUUUCUCAACUAAUGUUGAGAUUCCUAAAGGCUUUCUUCAGGAACUUUCUCCCAAAGCAGAUAGUUCCUCCAUAAGAUAUUUUCAAUAUCCAGGUUUCAGGUGGCUUACCAAAUUUGAAAGAGUCCUCUACAAUGACAAUAAAUAAAUUGUACAGAAUCUAGGGUAACCACAUGUAAAUAGAAUUGAAGCAGUUAAGCAAUGAAAUUCUAGUUAAGUCAGCAAUAAGAGAAGGUUACUUUCCUAUCUUUUUGCUCAUCCUUUCCAUUUUAUUUUUCUUCUUUUAGCCAUGAGAAUGCUCACUAGUGCAAUACCCAUGGAAAUAACCAUUAAGACAAUCAAAGCAAUGGAAAAGAUACUUUAAGACAAUAAUCAAUUCAAUCUCUCUCUCUCUCUUUCUUUUUUUGCCUCCGAAAAAAAAGAAGAUUCAUAAUACACACAAUCCUGUAACCACUCCCAUGAAAAUAAUUCAUGGAUAUUCCAAUGUGAGGAAACUGAGGCAUGACAAGGUUAAGUAACCUGCCUAAGAUUAUACAGUGUAAGACUGCAGAGCUGGGUUAGGCACUGUUCCUGGUCCAAGGUAUCCAUUAUACAGUGGGAGUUGAGUGACGAGUCCUCUCAGGGCUCUGUAUACCUGCAGAUCCUGGAUACCCUCUUGAAAGCAGGAAAAUAAUGAAUUCAAGGGAAAUCACUCUGCAUAAAAUGCCAGAAGUCCUUGGACCCAAAGAUAAGAAUUUUGCAAGAUUUCCUUCUGAAGAGUCAACUCUUCUGCUCACUACACAUAUGGGUGCAAUCAAUUGAGGUCUCAAGAUGGUCAACAUGGAUAGUAAUAAGAGCUUCCUUUGUUUGGUUAUCUCUCAUGGGUUAUGCCCUGGUAUAUGAACUUUGAGGACCGUGUCCCACAGGCUCUUCAUAACAACUCUUCCAGGUUAAACAGAGAAGGAGAAUAACAAUUAAGGAGUUGCCUCUAUGCAAGAGAUUGCUUUGAGAACUUCCAAAUGGCUCCUUCCUAUAGGACAGAGAGGGAAACAAGCUCUACACUCUCACUAGCAAACUCAAAGAUCCAGGGCCUGUGAUAAUCAUGUUAUAGAUUUCAACCCAGUCUGGCACAUGGCUUCCCAUGAGGUGAAACACAGAAAGGAAUAAUAGUCUCCACCUCAUAGGAGGACAUGCUGUAUCCCAUACCACAUAUUGGUUGAUUCUUCUAACACUUGAAGGACUUCCUGGGAAUUGAGACAUAAAACAACAACAACAACAACAACAACAUACAUCUUGUACUCAAGGAGCCUGUGAGUUCAACAGGCAUCAAAUAGCGUUUUACAUUCUGUUUGGGGAUGGAACUGAAAUGAAGCAAGAGAAUCCAUCAGCGGGGUGUUAAUCAAACACCUACCUUGUGCCCUCUACUGUUCUGCUUCAGAAAAGAUGAGAUGACUCCUAUCCUCAAGACCACUGCCAUCUGGUUGGAUAACAACAGUGAUGUGGAAGUCCACAGUUUGCCAGAGAUUAAAGCUCAAGCCAAAAACAAACAAACAAACAAACAAACAAACAAAAACCAUCCUGAGGGCACCUGGGUGGCUCAGUUGGUUAAACAUCGGCCUUCUGCUCAGAUCCUGAU